CCUACGGGAGGCAGCAGUGAGGAAUAUUGGUCAAUGGACGAAAGUCUGAACCAGCCAAGCAGCGUGAAGGAUGACUGCCCUAUGGGUUGUAAACUUCUUUUAUAAAGGAAUAAAACGAGGCACGUGUGCCUUUUUGCAUGUACUUUAUGCAUAAGGAUCGGCUAACUCCGUGCCAGCAGCCGCGGUAAUACGGGGGGUGCGAGCGUUAAUCGGAAUUACUGGGCGUAAAGCGCUCGUAGGCGGUAUGGCAAGUCACGGGUGAAAUCCCCGCGCUCAACGUGGGGACUGCGUUUGAAACUGGGAAACUGGAGUGUGGGAGAGGAUAGUGGAAUUCCAGGUGUAGGGGUGAAAUCCGGAGAUAUCUGGAGGAACAUCAGUGGCGAAGGCGACUAUCUGGCACAUAACUGACGCUGAGGAGCGAAAGCGUGGGUAGCAAACAGGAUUAGAUACCCCUGUAGUC
rnacentral:rRNA from 1 species